rnacentral:rRNA from 1 species
GAUGAACGCUGGCGGCGUGCUUAACACAUGCAAGUCGAACGGUGAAGCAGAGCUUGCUCUGUGGAUCAGUGGCGAACGGGUGAGUAACACGUGAGCAACCUGCCCCUGACUCAGGGAUAAGCGCUGGAAACGGCGUCUAAUACUGGAUAUGAGCUGCGACCGCAUGGUCAGCAGUUGGAAAGAUUUUUCGGUCUGGGAUGGGCUCACGGCCUAUCAGCUUGUUGGUGAGGUAAUGGCUCACCAAGGCGUCGACGGGUAGCCGGCCUGAGAGGGUGACCGGCCACACUGGGACUGAGACACGGCCCAGACUCCUACGGGAGGCAGCAGUGGGGAAUAUUGCACAAUGGGCGAAAGCCUGAUGCAGCAACGCCGCGUGAGGGAUGACGGCCUUCGGGUUGUAAACCUCUUUUAGCAGGGAAGAAGCGAAAGUGACGGUACCUGCAGAAAAAGCGCCGGCUAACUACGUG